CGACUCGUGGUUCGUUCCUAGGACGAAGAAUUCACCGGCUUUAGGAUUUGAAUCUUAUGUCUAUGCAUGUUAAUGUUUAAAUACUCCGUGAUAUAUGUAUGUAUUUUUUUCUCAUUUCUCUCUUUUCUAAACCUUGUUUUUUUUAAAAAGGGGUAGAAGCCCAGGUAUCUGCAUCAAUCGAUGCACACAGCCAUUUUUUCUAAACCAUGUCAAAUACCAUGUAAAUCGAUGAAACUGAACAUCUAAGAUCUAUGAAUCCAACUAAAAAUUUGAUGAGGUAAUCUGCAAAUUCAACUAUUGUUUAAUAAAAAAUUCUUGCGUAUCGUUGUUUAUAUGAAAUUAGCCCGUCCUUGGCUUUCUGUCACGCUCCGCCACUGAUUAUAUGGUUUUGGUCAGAAAACGAGACGCAUGGAUUUAAAGAUUGACCGGUUGUAAAAUUUAUGUUCCUUUUUCUCUGUUCUCUUUACUUACUUUUUCAUUCUUUUUUUUAUGUUUCUCUUAUUUCCCCUUUUUAGAAAUAUUUAUAUAUUUAUUUUUCCUUUCACCAUUUUAUUUUAAAUUUUCCUUUUAAAAUUUCUUUAGUAAAUGUCAUGGAAUCCUAAUGAUUAAUUGGAUUUAGGAUAACAAAUAGCACAACUUUUGAAAACAUUCAUGGAACCAUAAAUAAUUACGAAUAGAGACCCAAAUUGUAAGACCAUAGUUUGCUUUACUGCGAGUUUGUUAGCUUGAUUUUCUACUUUCUAACUGAAAUAUCUUUCCUUUAUUGUGGCUCAGUCUCUCUUUUCUAGUCAAUCAUAUAUGAUCUGAUAUAGAUAACAAUUAUUGUGUGUUAUGAACACAUAAGGAGAUACCAGGAUAGGGACAUGCAUAUUUUUUAUGGACAACAUAACUGUCAAAAACACAAGACUAUAUAAAGUUUUGGUGCUCGAUGAACCAUUAUACAAAUCUAAGCCAUUUAUUUCUGGACGGAGGGGGUAGUUAUGUUAAAAGAUGAACAGAAAUCAUUUCCUUUAGCAAUUUUUUUUCUUAUUUUGGUUUUCUUAAACUGAAACCCCAAUUCUCAUGGUUUCUUGAAAUUUACUCAUGGUUCAAGUAGGCUCAAAUGGUUUGGGCUGGAGACCAAAUGGCGACUGCCCGUUGGGCCUAAUUGGUCAGUUUUACUAUCAAAAGCCUCAAAUCAUUUGGGUUGUCCUUUUGUAAUUAACCGAAUAUUUGUGGUAAUGAGUUUUUUUAUUCAAAAGUUGUGGUUCGCUGAUACCAAAUCCCAGAUUGUUUGGGUUUCAUGAUAUUUACUCAAUUUCCUUUUGCAGUGCUCAUGUGAAAAUGCUUCUAGAAUAAGAAUAAGGCAAGCUAGGU
rnacentral:lncRNA from 1 species